UACGAAGGGGGCUAGCGUUGCUCGGAAUCACUGGGCGUAAAGCGCACGUAGGCGGCUUCUUAAGUCAGGGGUGAAAUCCUGGAGCUCAACUCCAGAACUGCCCUUGAUACUGAGGAGCUCGAGUCCGGAAGAGGUGAGUGGAACUGCGAGUGUAGAGGUGAAAUUCGUAGAUAUUCGCAAGAACACCAGUGGCGAAGGCGGCUCACUGGUCCGGUACUGACGCUGAGGUGCGAAAGCGUGGGGAGCAAACAGGAU
rnacentral:rRNA from 1 species